UGUGUUUUGUGUGUGCUUGUUUUUAAGUGAGGUGUGUGUGUGUUUUUAAUGAAAGUUGUGCAUUCAAGUAAAAGGCAUGUGUGUGAGUGAUGUGUGUAAGUGAGAGACAUGUGUAUGUAAGUGAGAGGCAUGUAUGUGUGUGUAAGUGGGAGGCAUGUGUAUGUAAGAGAGACUUGUGUGUGUAAGUGAAAGAGACGUGUGUGUGUGUGUUUAAGUGAAUGAGGCGUUUGUGUUUUUUUUAUAUAUAUAUCUAGUGUUCACGCUAGGUGUCUGCACCUUUUUUUAGACAGAUGAAUCCCACCCUGCCCGUUUUUGUGCGCCCUACCAACCCGCCGUUUUCUGCCUGCCGUACCCCGCCACGCCGCCAGACCCAGCCGUGCGCCGCCGGACCCGACAGUGUGGGUUGGAUGCUCCAUGAGAAGCUGAAAUGAUGUAUACUGUUUAACAACUCAACAAGAAAUGCAUCCCAAGUUAUUCUUCAUGUGGCCAGCGACAGUAUCGUCCUCUAUUUAUCUUUUACUAUUCAUAAUUUUGCAGCACUAUUUUAUAAAUAUUGUACUGAAAAAGACAUUAUCCAUCUUUCAUCUUAUUGAUUCUUUGUCACUUAUUUGAAAGGAUAUGAUCAACAGUCAAGAUGCAUCUGAAAAUAAAGAAAAUGUGCUCCAAAA